rnacentral:rRNA from 1 species
UACGUAGGGUGCGAGCGUUAAUCGGAAUUACUGGGCGUAAAGCGUGCGCAGGCGGUUCGUUAAGUCAGAUGUGAAAGCCCCGGGCUCAACCUGGGAACUGCAUUUGAAACUGGCGGGCUUGAGUGUGGUAGAGGGGGGUGGAAUUCCGCGUGUAGCAGUGAAAUGCGUAGAGAUGCGGAGGAACACCGAUGGCGAAGGCAGCCCCCUGGGCCAACACUGACGCUCAGGCACGAAAGCGUGGGGAGCAAACAGG